AUGUUGUACGUUGCUGAUCCCGAAAUUCAGGAGGAAAAGAUUGACAGCUCCCUUGAGUUUCUUAUCCUUGCUAGUGAUGGACUGUGGGAUGUUGUCACAAAUGAGGAGGCUGUUGCAAUGGUUAAACUACUUCCGAAGCCAGAACAGGCAACAAAGAGGCUGAUGCAGGAAGCAUAUCAGAGAGGUAGUGCAGAUAAUAU